UACGUAGGUGGCAAGCGUUGUCCGGAUUUAUUGGGUUUAAAGGGUGCGUAGGCGGCCUUGUAAGUCAGUGGUGAAAUACUCCAGCUUAACUGGAGGGGUGCCAAUGAUACUGCAGGGCUUGAGUACAGAUGAGGUAGGCGGAAUUGACGGUGUAGCGGUGAAAUGCAUAGAUAUCGUCAAGAACACCGAUAGCGAAGGCAGCUUACUAGGCUGUAACUGACGCUGAGGCACGAAAGUGUGGGGAUCAAACAGG
rnacentral:rRNA from 1 species